AGCAGCCGCGGUAAUUCCAGCUCCAAUAGCGUAUAUUAAAGUUGUUGCAGUUAAAAAGCUCGUAGUUGAAUUUCGGGAUCAAUGCGUCGGUCGUGCUUUCGGGUACGUACUGGUGUCAUUGGUUUCUCCUUUCUGACGAGCCGUGAUGUCAUUAAUUUGGUGUUACGGGUAGUUAGGACUGUUACUCUGAAAAAAUUAGAGUGUUUAAAGCAAGCUAACGCCUGAAUACAUUAGCAUGGAAUAGUGAAAUAGGACGUAUGAUCCUAUUUUGUUGGUUUCUAGGAUUGACGUAAUGAUUAAUAGGGAUAGUUGGGGGCAUUAGUAUUCAAUUGUCAGAGGUGAAAUUCUUGGAUUUAUUGAAGACUAACUACUGCGAAAGCAUUUGCCAAGGAUGUUUUCAUUAAUCAAGAACGAAAGUUAGGGGAUCGAAGACGAUCAGAUACCGUCGUAGUCUUAACCAUAAACUAUGCCGACUAGGGAUCGGAGAUGUUAAUUUUUUAAUGACUCAUUCGGCGCCUUA
rnacentral:rRNA from 1 species